rnacentral:rRNA from 2 species
UACGUAGGGGGCAAGCGUUGUCCGGAUUUAUUGGGCGUAAAGAGCGUGUAGGCGGCCAUACAGGUCCGUUGUGAAAACUCGAGGCUCAACCUCGAGACGUCGAUGGAAACCGUAUGGCUAGAGUCCGGAAGAGGAGAGUGGAAUUCCUGGUGUAGCGGUGAAAUGCGCAGAUAUCAGGAAGAACACCCGUGGCGAAGGCGGCUCUCUGGGACGGUACUGACGCUGAGACGCGAAAGCGUGGGGAGCGAACAGG